rnacentral:rRNA from 1 species
AUUGAACGCUGGCGGCGUGCUUAACACAUGCAAGUUGAUCGGUAACGCGGGGGCAACCCUGGCGACGAGAGGCGGACGGGUGAGGAACGCUUGGGAAUCUGCCUAUCAGCGGGGGACAACACGGGGAAACUCGUGCUAAUACCGCAUACGCUCUACGGAGGAAAGCCGGGGACCGCAAGGCCUGGCACUGAUAGAUGAGCCCAAGCCGGAUUAGCUAGUUGGCGGGGUAACGGCCCACCAAGGCGACGAUCCGUAGCUGGUCUGGGAGGACGAUCAGCCACACUGGAACUGAGACGCGGUCCAGACUCCUACGGGAGGCAGCAGUGGGGAAUAUUGGACAAUGGGGGAAACCCUGAUCCAGCGACGCCGCGUGGGUGAAGAAGGCCUGCGGGUUGUAAAGCCCUUUCGGUAGGGACGAAAGCUCUCGACCUAACACGUCGGGGGGUUGACUUAACCUACAGAAGAAGCACCGGCUAACUCUGUGCCAGCAGCCGCCGUAACAC